rnacentral:rRNA from 1 species
ACCUUUUAGUAUUGGAAUACCCAUUGGAAACAAUGGCUAAUGCCGGAUACGCAUGGAACCGCAUGGUUCCGUUGUGAAAGGCGCUGUAAGGCGCCACUAAAAAGAUGAGGGUGCGGAACAUUAGUUAGUUGGUGAGGUAAUGGCCCACCAAGACUAUGAUGUUUAGCCGGGUCGAGAGACUGAACGGCCACAUUGGGACUGAGAUACGGCCCAAACUCCUACGGGAGGCAGCAGGC